rnacentral:rRNA from 1 species
CAGUAGCCGCGGUAAUACGAAGGGGGCUAGCGUUGUUCGGAAUUACUGGGCGUAAAGCGCACGUAGGCGGAUUGUUAAGUUAGGGGUGAAAUCCCAGGGCUCAACCCUGGAACUGCCUUUAAUACUGGCAAUCUCGAGUCCGAGAGAGGUGAGUGGAAUUCCGAGUGUAGAGGUGAAAUUCGUAGAUAUUCGGAGGAACACCAGUGGCGAAGGCGGCUCACUGGCUCGGUACUGACGCUGAGGUGCGAAAGCGUAGGGAGCGAACAGGAUUAGAUACCCGCGUAGUCCCUGUCUCUUAUAA